AAAACCGGAAGACAAUUUUUGUGACCAACUUGCUAUCUCUGCGUGGAUUUCGCCGCCGAAAGGACUUCGGCCCACCGUGUGCAAGCGUCAUAUUUGCUCAGCGUACAAUUAUUAUCAACAGGAAAGAGUCGUCUGUGGCGGCAGAGUGCACGUCCAAUGACGUGGGUGAUCGCUGUCCCUCAACACUUUUUUUUAUAAUUCUUUCAGCCGUUGAGGAAAUUCGCAUGAUAAGAUAUACAGAACUAAAGUUGUAGGGGCUGUAGGUAUAAGACUGCCCAGGCUGGUCGUACAGAUAUAGAUCCUAGGUGAAGUCGGGGACUGCAGCAGUCCUGUCGCUGCGCUCACACGAGUUGCACUUGGAAAGAGGAAGGGUGCAACAAGGCCAAGAACAAGGUGAGCAGCCAUGGCAGCAAAAACAACCCGUCUCCACGUUGCCGCAGAGAAUGGGCGCGUGAAAAUAGUGCGCGAUUUGCUGGAAGACGCGUUUCGACGAGACCUCGUUGCCAGGGACGAGUUUGGAAGGACACCGCUGCACGUCGCUGCAAUGUACGGGCACACCGAGAUAGUGAAGCUGCUACUAGCAGAAGGGGUGAGGAGUGAUAAGAACUUAAAGGAUCACUCCGGAUACACCGCCGAGAUGCUUGCGAUUAAGCAUGGCCACCAAAAAAUUGCGAAAUUGAUUGACGAUGAGUGAUUGAUCAGUCAUUUUGGAGGAGGGACAUUUUAAGACGUUUUUCAAAUAAAUUAAACCAAAUGCUGGAUCCAUCUUA